CAAACGUGAGGGUCUCCAGGAUUUGUAAUACGUACUUCUCUGGGUCUCUAGCAGCAAGAGUCAGGCCCGUGCCAAGCAUAUAGUGGAUACUCCGGGUCAGUUGCUUACUGGCCAUGAUCUUCCCUGUCAGCUCCAGUGAGUCCAGAGGCCUCACAUAUACCCCAGGGAGGUUUUCAGUGAACUGAUCCAGUGGGUUUGAUACAGGGCCCAGAUCGUGGCACUCUAGCCUGGCAGGGUUGGCAGGAGACACGAAGGAAGUGUCUCUCACUUCUGCCCUCCCACCCAGACUCCUCAGCCCUGUCCUGGGGGUGGCGCUUGCCCAGACAACUCUAUCUUGGCAGUGAUGGGCUGAAGAGGAGGAGAGUAAGCAAGCAGGUGCUGGGUAUCUUCCAUGGCACCAAAGCAGAACCCUCACAUGUGGGGAAAGCCCUUAGGUCUACACGGACUAAUAAGGAGAGAGCGGGGGGAAUUGCUGCCCCUGGCCCCAGUCUCAGGCAUGGUGGCCCUUCCCCCAUCAGGUUCUUCAUGUCAGCCUGGGAAGGGUAAUUCUGGGAACGGGCUGGGGCUCUGCUAGCCUCUCAUGAGAGGAGACGGGAGCAUUUCUUCUGGUCCCAUCUCAGUUUCUCCGUCCACAGCAGCAGUGGGAGUGGGGGAACAGGGCUGUCUCUGGAGUAGAGUUGGGGUCAGACUCUAGCAGCCCUGCAGGGGGAUGAUUUGGGCAUGGGUGAAAGGGUUUAGGGUGGUGGAAGUGGAGCCACAGGGAGGGAUGAGGGCAGCAUUUGUGGAUCCCACAGUAACAGUGAGUGGGAGAGGCAGAGGAGAAGGAGAUGGGGAGGCCGAGUCUUCAGAUGGCCUGAGGAGGCUGGUCCUCCAGCACCUCCCUGAGACCCAGGACACCUUGCUGAGCAUCUGACCUCCCCCUCAGGCCAGACCAGACCAGGUAGAGAGUCCCACCGCAUGGGUGCCCCCUCCUGCACUCUAUUUCGCAGCGCCUUUCCCCCUUGUCAUUGGUCCCCUCCAGGGAGCCACUGUGAGUGCACAGAACAGGUGGGGCUCUCCCAGCUGCUAUCCAGCUGUGAAGAACCCUGACCAUACCCCCCCACCCCCCUGCAGGAGAGAAGGUUCUAAUUCUAGCCGGAAAGAUGAGAAGGAUGGUACGGGGAGAGCGUCCAGAGGGAUGCGUGGAAGCUAACCACUUGCCCCAGUUGUGUGAACAUAUGUGUGGGAGGGGAGGGGCCUGCAGGUGGCAAGGCCCAGCUUAAGAAUGAUGGAGUGUUGCUUAGUUCUCUGAGCUAGAGACAUAUGGGCUAUACAAGACCAAGCAAAAUGAGAAAUUAUUGCUUAAGAGAGAGAGGACAUGGGGGGAUAAGAAAAAAUUCAAGCCAGGGAGACCCAGUGCCGCUUGCCCCCUCGCCAUCAUGACCUGACCCAUCUGUGCGUGACUGGAUCAAAGUCCAAGGGGAGGGAGAGGUCUGAGAACUGACCCUCAGGGCCUCCGGUGGGGGAGAAGCUGAUCCUCCGAACAUGCAUUUCCCCGAUGUUACACAGAGCGCGGGGAGCUGGGAACAGCCGCCCCAAUUCUCCAGGUGGGACAGUGGGUGGAGCUUUCCCCAUCCUCCUCUGUGCUUCUUGUGCCCGCCUCUCUGUCCACCCCUCCCCUCUCUCCAGUCCAAUGGGGAACCAGUUCUCUCUUCUCCCGCUGGCCUGUCUCUCAUGGUUCUCCCCGGCACUGAGCCUUCCUCAUCCACUCAGUGGCUCCCACACUCUCUUGUCUCCUCUGAAUGUCCCCUUCCUGCACCAAGCCUCCUAGGCUUUGUCUGUCCCCACGAAGGCCCCUCCCCCUAAGGCAAGUUCACUUACCCAACCUUGUGGCUGAUGCAAGUCCUUUAGGGUCCACUGUGGGCUGGUGCCUUGGUCCAGCUCCAGGGCUGGAGUUUCUCUGGUCCGUCUGGCCUCUAUCACUCAACAUCCACGUGUCUGGUUUAGACUGUGACCUCCACAGGGCUGGCAAGGAUCCAAGUGUUUCUGUGGUCACCAGCACAGCUCUGGGAGCAACCUGAUUUUUGAUAGAGUUGACAGCUUUUCUUUUGAUUCCAUGAGGCAGAAGCAGCUAGAAGGAUGCUGAGAGGUCUUAGAGGACCACUGAGUGUGACUAAGGCACUUCCUCCAGGGAAGCCACCUCCUGCUACAACAAGCAGUGACUGAGGCUGGACAGCAAGAACUUCUGAAGACUCUUAAGGUGGAAGGAAAGAUUCCCAGGGUUUCUGUGAAGACGUUGGGGAGGGAUGGCCUUAACCUUUUCAAGCUCGGAGGGAGCAGAGGGGUCUGUGAAUCUGGAGACGUUUACUUCCACCCUUGUAGGAUUGAUCCAAAAGAGGGAUGGCCACUUCCUCUUUUUUUUUAAAUUUAUUUAUUUAUUUUAUUUAUUUAUUUUUGGCUGCACUGGGUCUUCGUUGCUGCAUGUGGGCUUUCUCUAGUUGCGGUGAGCGGGGUCUACUCUUCAUUGCGGUGCACGGGCUUCUCACUGCGGUGGCUUCUCUUGUUGUGGAGCACGGGCUCUAGGCACGCAGGCUUCAGUAGUUGUGGCUCGUGGGCUCUAGAGCGCAGGCUCAGUAGCUGUGACACCCGGGCUUAGUUGCUCUGCGGCAUGUGGGAUCUUCCUGGACCAGGGAUCGAACCUGUGUCCCCUGCAUUGGCAGGCGGAUUCUUAACCACUGCGCCACCAGGGAAGCCCGCCACUUCCUCUUUAGGAGCCCUGACUCAUCAUUCUCAGUGCAAAUCCCAUUCACAAUUUCUUUGAUAAUUGUUUGUUCCUUGGCCGGAAAUCUGGUUCUUGAAUUCCCUCUCCUGUUCUUUUCCAUGAUCUGGGAACCAUCUUUGCGAACCAACCCCAUCUCCGUUUUAUGGAGCCAGAAGAACAGAGAGGUAGAGCCCUGUCUAGGCAGCGACAGAGCAAGCCUACAGGAGCCGGGAAUGCCUCCUUACGUGAAUGCCCUCUUCUUGUCUUUGGAUGCGAAGGGAAAGGAUGUGAUCCCCGAAGGAAAGGGCAGGGUUGUCCAGAGCAGGGUGUGUUAUCAACUAGAAGAGCACCCGCACCCAGCCACCUCGAUCUAAAUGUGCACACAAUGGAAAUAUCUUCACAGCCAAGGGCCCCUCCCUCCCAAAGAGAAAAUCCCACAAGUGGGGAACAUCUGGAUCAAACCGCAACCAUGAAAGCACAACAUCAAACGAGGGUUUCAGAGGGACCCUCCCCGCAGGCCCUGCUCCAAGAGAAAUUGCAGAUCUUCCUGCUUGAAGCUUUUAAGUGUCACAGAACCACUCAAGUUUGGGAUCUCUCCUUAUUCACCAGAGACAGAUGUCCCCAAACUGUCAGCUUUGAAGGCAUGGACUCCCUCACUGUAACUGGGUUGCUAGUGCCCCACACAGUGCCUGGCAGAGAGUAGCUGCUUGGUGAUGAAGCCCUGCUCCAGCUUCCAGCUGGAGCGCGUUCUCCUGCCGCCAGCCUUCUGGGAAACAAAACAACCCACGCGAUGAUUCCUCUGCAGCCUCGAGGCCUCUGAGGGGCUACCAGGGCAUCUCCUAUCUGACCUCCUCUGGGAGUCUUCUGGGGGGACCCUAGUUGACAGCACUCUCUCCCACCUCUGAAAUGUAUUGUCCACAAGAUUCACCCGGGAUUUCCCUGCUGGUCCAGCGGUUAAGGCUUCGCAAUUUCAGUGCCUCCUCUUCAGGGGGAACGAGUUCGAUCCCUGGUCGGGGAACUAACAUCCCCCAUGCGGUGCGUGGGGGCGGCCAAAACAAACAAAGAAACAAACGAAAGCAAACGAAAAAAGGUCUCACUACACCUUCAUGGUAAGGGCUAUUAUUGUUAUUUACUAAUCUGGGAUGGAUGUGUCUUUCUUGGUUGCGUGAGACCCGAGGCUCUUUGGGACCGCAGUGCCCAGCAUGGAGUCUCCUCAGGACAGGCUGGCUGUCGAAUAGCUAACGCCUCCAAGUCCUAGUGUCUAAGCUUUUGAUGUGGUGGCUCCUCUGGGGCUCUGAUGGCUGAGCGUCGGGAACUGCUGAGUCGGGAUGUCUUGGCGUAAUCGGGUGAAUUGGACACACACGCGAAGGAGCCCGGUCCCAGUGAGGUGAGGCCUGAAUGACCCUGCAGGUCGAGAGAAUGCUUGAGCGGGGAUGUUGCGAAAAUGACCAAGGUCGGUGGGCUCUAUUCAGAAAAACUCUUUGGGCAAGGAACGUAUGAAAGAGGUUGGAAGGAGAGAAGGGCAGGGCCGGCAGAGGUUGCAGGAGGAUAUCCGGGUGGGAUAGGGUUGGCCGUGGGUGAGGAGGCUAAGGCGGCUCUGCCUGCAGGUGAGGGCCCAGGAGGGAGGGGCUUGGGCAAUUGUAAACAUUCCCUCUACACUGUGAGGACUGUGACCACGGCUCCACAACCCGCUCCCAUCCCUCCCCGAACUCUAGGCCAGGAGGGAUCCUACCUCUCACCGCCAUUUCUAGGCCCAGGCUGACCUGUGCUCCCGCGACAUCACCUGACACCGAGCUCGGGGUGGAUCAGCUUUACUCUGUACCCUCGCGGUCCUCCCUGGGGCUGGAGCUGCCUUUGAAGUUGAUGGAGAGAAGAUUGGUGAGCUGUCGCCUGAGCCUAGAUCUCCCAGACAUCCGUGAGGGGAGGGGAUCUCCACUUUGAGCCCUUUUUCGGGGGGCUGAGGUGUUGACACUUUAGUUGUCAGAACUGACGUUUCUCAUCUGUGAAUGCGGCGCGAAGCUGACCGAAUUGCCAGCAUCUCUGGGCUGCUGGGUGGCAGCACUGCUCAGCUCCAGGGACCAACCACUCACCGCACUCCUGGAGCACAACUCCAGGCGGAGCCAUUCACAUAGAAUUUGACGUGCACGGUCGCCGCAUUCCCCGCCGCCCAAGGUCGCGCGGUGAUGGUGGGCCACCAUCGUGCCCUUUUUGAGUCAGGGUUCUGUUUACCAGUCUAAGCUAGUUAACCUGAGGACCAGGAAUAUUCAUGAGGCUUUGCCCGAGGACAGAGAGACGGACAAAAUAGUCUCCAAAGUCAUGUCCUCAUGAGACGUGGGCACCGGGAAACCAGAGUGUCUCCCAGACAACAGGUCCACAAAGCAGGGUGCAGUCUGAGGCCAAGUAGCAGGGAAAAGAAAUGACAAACUCCAUCCAUCGGGGAAGGAAAACUGUCUUUCACCCCCAGAUUGAAAAGAAUAACCCACGGGUAAAGACCCAGUGACACUUAGUAGGUCUGCAGUUACCAUGAUGUGAACCAGAAUCAGUGCUGACAUUCCAGCCUCUAGGUUCGGGGUUCUUGGAAGCAGAAAGGCCUAGCCACCCUGGUGACACUUGUGCAUGGGAAUUUGCUGAAAUCUGAAAUGAGAUCCUGACCCAGAUGGGGGUCAGGAAUUUGUUUCCUUCCCUUUUUCUCCUUCUUAGUUCACUGUUUAGGAUGAAAAAUGACAACCAGAUGAGCAAAAGAAUGAUUAUCAGGAAUGAUAAAUAAUACACUCCAGAUGUGGCCGGAGAGAAAUGCAACUGAAAGCACCACCGCCUCCAAGUAGUCACGUUGGGGCGACCCCCUUCUCCCAACAAGGCCACGAUGACAAAAGUUCUGUAACUCUUCUUUGGGAAUUGUCUUCAGGAAGUGGAGGGGAUGAGGUCAAAAUGCACCCACACAGCAACCUGUUUCUAACAACGAUCGGUUAACCUACAUGAAGAACUCUCCAGUUGCAGAAGUUUCCUGGACGUUUGCUUUCCUGAGGAAAGACCUGGAAGAAGGGGCUGCUGGCCUGCUUUUGAAUCUCGAUCCUCUCCCCUCCUGCCUCACCCGUGGACGCUGCCCUCGUCGUCAAGUAACAAGCUGGAUUCGAAAGGGUAGAGAACCUCCGAGCUGGACAAUCCAUCUCCCGGCUGCCAGGUGUGGCCAGAGGGGAAUGUGAGCCGAGUAAUGUCAUCAGAGCCUUGAGACAUUGGGGGCUCCAGCCGGGAAUACCACAGACGGUUUGCUAUGGAUGAAGACUCCUCUGGAGAAAGCUCACAGGAAGGCUGCUGUGAGAAAUGAAGUCCCUUGCUGUUUCCCCGAUUCCUUCAUCAAGAGGAGCUAAAUGAAGUCACUGCACAUUUGAACGGGGGCCAUUAAAGCGCAGCCUCUGACCAGUUCAGAGGCAGACGUGGGCUUGGACGGCCAGUGACUGAACGGCGGCGGCAUGGAAAAUCUGAGGUGCUGGAUGGUUGAAAUAAAGCUCCUCUAGGAGGGUUAUGUGUGCCUCACUCAACAGUGCUCCCCGACGGGGGCCCAGGGUGUCACCUGAGCUGUGAAUAGGCUUGUUCAUUGACCGGUUAGCCCCUUAUUUAUUCAGUAAGUUCUGAUUAUGUACUUAGGAGGCACCGUGCUAGGUGUAUAGGAUGGACGAGACAAAAUCCCCGCCCCACAGGGACUACAGUCUGGAGAGGGGAGGCCGGAGCAAGAUUACAGUGAUCUGUACCAAGUGCUGAGUAGUCUCGUGUCACCACUUGACAUCACUACCCCGCAAAGCUGCCCUCCUCCUGGCCUCUCCCUAUGCUCAGUGUAGCCCCCUUCCCUCCAGCUUCUUUCUGCCUGGGUCCCAUCUUCCUUCUGAGCUGGGUCGCUGCUGGGCUGCAGGCAGUGACAAAG